rnacentral:rRNA from 1 species
UAAGGGAUCAGUCUAUGUUCCAUCAGCUUGUUGGUGAGGUAAUGGCUCACCAAGGCUAUGACGGAUAUCUGGUUUGAGAGGAUGAUCAGACACACUGGAACUGAGACACGGUCCAGACUCCUACGGGAGGCAGCAGUGAGGAAUAUUGCACAAUGGAGGAAACUCUGAUGCAGCAACGCCGCGUGGAGGAUGACGCAUUUCGGUGUGUAAACUCCUUUUAUUAGGGAAGAUAAUGACGGUACCUAAUGAAUAAGCACCGGCUAACUCCGUGCCAGCAGCCGCGGUAAUACGGAGGGUGCAAGCGUUACUCGGAAUCACUGGGCGUAAAGGGUGCGUAGGCUGGCUUUUAAGUCAGAUGUGAAAUCCAAUGGCUCAACCAUUGAACUGCAUUUGAAACUGAAAGCCUAGAGUUCAGAAGGGGCAGAUGGAAUUAGUGGUGUAGGGGUAAAAUCCGUAGAUAUCACUAGGAAUAUCAAAAGCGAAGGCGAUCUGCUGGGAUGAUACUGACG